GCCCGGGUGGCGGAAUUGGUAGACGCGCUGGUCUCAAACACCAGUAGGUUCACCCCUGUGUCGGUUCGAACCCGACCCCGGGUACCA
rnacentral:tRNA from 1 species